AUCGUAUUUCCAAAAAAUGGUAUUUUAGCCAGUGUGCGAAGCAAACGAGGUCGGAUUGUCAUUUGUUUUUUUUUGUGAGUUAAAGAAAUACCUACAUCAACAAAAUGAGCGGUGUCCAGGUUACCGACGGAGACAACAGUGGAGUCAACGUAGUUGACGGUGGCGGUGGGGUCCAGUUAGUCAGCGGUGGGGUCAAUGUCAUUGAUGGUGCCGUCAUGUUCGGGGGUGCAGUCAAUAUUGUCGACAACGGGGGCACUGUUGUCGACGGCGCUGUUAUGUUAGGCGGUGGGGUCACUGUUGUUGACAACGAUGACUCAAGUGGGGUCAACAUUGUUGGUUGAUGAAUUUAAUUUUAGUACAGAAUCUAUUAGGAUAAAUACUUAUUAAUAUUAUCUACUGAUUAAUUUUAAUAUACAUAUAACAUU